GGUGUUAGAAGCGCUGGUAGGCCUUGGAGAGGCGGGUUAGGAAGACGCAGGGCCCCUUGGCCUAGCUUCGAUCGUUCGAAUUCAGAGCACGUCCUUCCGAGGUGAAGGAACGCGAAACUCCACCCAUCCGAUUGCUGUUCGGCUGCGGGCGGGUCCUUUGGUCGGGCUGACCCUGGGUGAGCGGCCCGGAGCCAAGACUCGAGAGACAGGGUUUCGCCGUGUUGGCCAGACUGGUCUCGAACUCCUGACGUCAAAGUGAUCCACCUGCCUCGGCCUCCCAAAGUACUGGGAUUACAGGCGUGAGCCACUGUGCCCAACCUGUAAGUCAUUUUUGAGUCAACGAUAUUUUUAAUUUACAAUGGGUGUAUCCAGAUGUAAGCCAUCGCAAAUCAAGGAGUGUACCGAAUGAGUAUCAAUUUCUCCCAGUGAUAGGUCAACCCUGAGUGGAGACUGCUGCACGGACUCUGGAACCAUGAACAUAUUUGAUCGAAAGAUCAACUUUGAUGCGCUUUUAAAAUUUUCUCAUAUAACCCCGUCAACGCAGCAGCACCUGAAGAAGGUCUAUGCAAGUUUUGCCCUUUGUAUGUUUGUGGCGGCUGCAGGGGCCUAUGUCCAUAUGGUCACUCAUUUCAUUCAGGCUGGCCUGCUGUCUGCCUUGGGCUCCCUGAUAUUGAUGAUUUGGCUGAUGGCAACACCUCAUAGCCAUGAAACUGAACAGAAAAGACUGGGACUUCUUGCUGGAUUUGCAUUCCUUACAGG
rnacentral:lncRNA from 10 species